GACGUAGGUGGCGAACGUUAUCCGGAAUUAUUGGGCGUAAAGGAUGCGUAGAUGGUGUAGUAAGUUAUCGGUGGCAAAUCGAGGCUCAACCUCGUGGAAGUCGGUAAUACUGCUAUGCUAGAGGAUAGGAGAGGUUAACGGAACUCCCUGUGGAGCGGUGAAAUGCGUAGAUAUCAGGAAGAACACCCGUGGCGAAGGCGGCUCUCUGGGACGGUACUGACGCUGAGACGCGAAAGCGUGGGGAGCGAACAGG
rnacentral:rRNA from 1 species